CCCUAUUAUUUUAGAAUGUUAAUGCUUAUUGCCUGAGUAUUAUUAGUUAUGUUCUUGAAACUUAAAGAAUUUGGCGGUAUCUCAUUCCGUUCAGAGGAAUCUGUCUCGUUAUCGAUAGUCCACGUUGGACCUUACUUAGUUGAAUUGGUUUGUAUACCGCCGUUUAUUGAUUAUCUUUUUAGGGUUAUUUUAAUUUUCUGGUUUCUUUAUUUUGAUUUAUUUCAGGUCAAGGUGCAGCUUUGUUUCUAAGUGGAAAUGAUGGAUUACAUUGUUAUUUGUUUUUGUGGAUUGUUGGUUUUAAUAUUGACAUGAAAUUGGAUUUGGUUGUAAUAAUUUGUAGAUUGUUAUUAUGAUAAUUGGUUCUGGGGUAUGUACACAUCGCCCGUCGCUCUCGUUUAACUUUUAUGAUGAGAUAAGUC
rnacentral:rRNA from 1 species